rnacentral:rRNA from 1 species
CCUACGGGAGGCAGCAGUGAGGAAUAUUGGUCAAUGGGCGCGAGCCUGAACCAGCCAAGUAGCGUGAGGGAUGACGGCCCUACGGGUUGUAAACUUCUUUUAUCAGGGAAUAAAGUGCGGCACGUGUGCCGGUUUGCAUGUACUUUAUGAAUAAGGAUCGGCUAACUCCGUGCCAGCAGCCGCGGUAAUACGGAGGAUUCGAGCGUUAUCCGGAUUUAUUGGGUUUAAAGGGUGCGUAGAUGGGUACUUAAGUCAGGCGUGAAAGUGGGCGGCUCAACCGUAAAAUUGCAGUUGAAACUGGCAGACUUGAGUACAGUGGAGGUAGGCGGAAUGCGUGGUGUAGCGGUGAAAUGCAUAGAUAUCACGCAGAACUCCGAUUGCGAAGGCAGCUUGCUGGCGCGGAACUGACGCUGAGGCACGAAAGCGUGGGGAUCGAACAGGAUUAGAUACCCUUGUAGUC